UCAUUCACCUUUUCAGAAAAAACAAAGAGACCCUAUAAACAAUCAAACCAUCAUAAUUAUUUUUGUCAAAGCAUGAAGCUUCGAAUAUAGCUUUAUAAGACAACCUACAAUUAUCUAUUUCGACUUGCAUUCAAAUUUCUCCAAUACAUCAUGCACCCAUUACCCAUCAAUCCCUUUUGAAGGGCCCUACAUUCCUACCAUCCAAAAGAGAAAUAGAUACAGAGAAUUCUCAGUACUAAUAGUUAUAGCCAUUCUCCACUAACCCCACCACAGAUAUUGAAAACAGGAGGACAUCAAUGGAGCUUUUGAAUACUUUGGCUUGCCUUGACCAUAGCACAUAGCAUCAAGUGCCCGUGAUUUUUUCUUCCUUGACAUGAAAAUGACGACUCCUUUGACAAAACUUGAGAAAAGAGAAUGAACAGUUGCACCGAGUGAAUUGAUUUUUAUUUUUAUUUUUUUU
rnacentral:misc_RNA from 1 species